AUUGUCGCGACAAAUUUUAUAGCAAUAAGUGGUAUGAAGUGCUCACUCUAACGCCACCCAUCACGUUGUUUACACCUUUUAAACAAAUUGCCAAUGUGUGUUGUACUUAUACACUAUAGUAUCUAGUAUCUAUCGUCACCAUGAGCGUGUCCGACGCGGGCUUGGCCGACAGAAAGAGCAGAAUGCAGCAAAUAUACGGAUCAAUGGGACAGUUGGAGAAGCUGCUGAAAAUAUUUUCCCUCGACAGCAAAGAACGGAAGAUCACAACCGGCGAGAAGCGCUGGUACAUCUUCAAAUGUAUACUCUCAGUUUCACUCUUUACUGUCUUAGUCAUCGUCACAACUUCAUACAAAAUCCGAAACGUGUAUCCCAGUUUGAACGUCUCCAUAGCUCUUACAGAUUUUGUGCAAAAUAUUUUUGAUAACAUUCAAUAUAUCAUAGACUUGUUCUUCGUAUAUAAGUACGGAAAAGAAAUUAGCAUCGAGUACUAUCGACAAUAUGAGUGCUUUGACGAAAUAAUGAACGUGAACUAUUAUUCUGAGAUCAAAAAAAGGGUGGCUGUUUUGAUAGGAGUAUUUUUCUUCUUCUGGCUUAUUUCUUCAGCAUUCGACAUCGUGGCAUGGUAUUUAGGUUACGACCUUUUAGUACCGCUAGUUUUUGCACCAGCUUAUGUCUUCCUGUUCAUCAAAAUUUUGACGAAUUUGGACAUUAGUGCGCAUGUGAUGAAUAUCGAGUGCAGAUUGCGGAUCAUAGGAGACAUUGUGCAAGAGACGUGUAUAAAAACUGAAGAUCUGCCGAUGAACACGUCUGUAAAGAGCGGUUUCAUAGACGCUGUUUCGAACAAACAUUGGUUUUAUUCUGAGGGCAAUAAUAGAUGUUCUGGCAUGAGGUUGCGGCUCCAGCCGUUGAAGAGUGUCACCAGCAGCCAGGACAUGAAGCUGCUCAGCAGAUGUUACCUGCUACUUAGCGAGCAGUGCAUGUACAUCAACAGCGUCUUCGGAGUCAGGAUUCUACUCAACAGUCUCAGUUUGCUCAUCGACAUGGUGAGGUUUCUGAAUGUCGUCGUCAGGAUUGCAGUUGGCUCGCAGCAAACUGUCUACAACGCGGGCUACUUUCCGGCGGCGUCGACGCUGUGCAGGUUCCUGGUGUGUGUGUGCGUGCUGGCGAGUCUCGUGAGACACUGCGAGCUGGCGUACCGACAGCAGGAGCGGCUCCUCAGCGUCGCGGACCACAUCCUCGUCAACAAGAAGCCUGUUUUCAGGUUACAGUACCUGUGACUCGCCCCUUCCGUCCAGCAUUGCCGUACCGGCUCCCAUCUCCGCCUCUGCAACCGUUGAGGUCUUCACCCGUAUCUCCGGACGACAGCCUGAGGAGUGGUAUCCAAGAGCUGCGGGCGCUGGUGGUGUCCAGACCUGUCAGAUUCAACAUGGCCUACUUCUUUACGCUCAACUACUCCUUUUUGGUCUCCAUAGCAUCCGUAGUCG
rnacentral:misc_RNA from 1 species